GCUCUUAUGGUCUAGUGGUAUGACGUGUGCUUCACAUUUCUCUGCUGUAGCGGGCAACGUGGAUCACGCACAAGGUCCCGAGUUCGAUCCUCGGUGGGAGUA